ensembl:lncRNA
UGGAGCCUCAGCUUCAGGAUCUGUCCUUCCAGUGAGCACUCAGGGUUGAUUUCCUUUAGAACUGAUAGGUUUGUUCUCCUUGCAGUCCAGGGGAUUCUCAAGAGCCUCCUCCAGCACCACAAUUCAAAGGCAUCAAUUCUUCGGCAGUCAGCUUUCUUUAUGGUCCAGCUCUCACUUCCAUACAUCACGACAGGAAAAACCAUAGCUUUGACUAUUCGGACUUUUGUUGGCAAGGUGAUGUCUCUGCUUUUCAAGAUGCUGCCAAGAUUUGUCAUUGUCAUUGUCAUUGCCAUCAUUGAUGGGGGGGGGUUAAAAAUCCGUCUUUUUUUCCAUUUCAUGCCCUUUCUUCCCUUGCCUGUUGCAAAACUGGCCUUGGCGGGCUGCAACCUCAGAGAAAGGCUGUUUCCAUUAGAAAGCACGGCGGCUGCAGAGUACAUUUCCCCCACUCCCGUCACAGCAGAGCCAUACUUGAGAUGACAUUCCGCCGGCUUGGCUCCCACCUCAGGGAUUUCGGAGGCGGGAGCCCCGAACCAUGCCUGAGACCCCCGCCCCCCAACCGCGACCGCGGACCCCCUCACCUGCAAAAGGCUCCGCAGUUUCGCACUAGGCCCUGCUCCCUCUCCGGUCGCCUAGCAACACCCAGAGCCGCCGGACCACUCGGGCUCCGUAGGAUUGAAAGCCACGUGGGGCGACGGAGCCAAUGACGAGAGGGCCACGUGGCCCCGCGAGCCAAGCAGAAGCCGAGGAAGAGGAAGGGAGCGUCCUAGCAACGGGAGAAGCUCGAAAGAGGGGAGGGGCCGCUUGCCAGGGUUAAGGUCUAGCUGGGCGGGCCAGGCCUUCUGGGAGUUGUAGUCCAAGAACAUCCAGGGACCCAAGGUUGGGAACCACUACUUUAGGUGGUCCAAGGGCGGCCGUCCUCUAGCAUAGUGGUUCUUAACUUUAGGUUACCCAAGUGUUUUUUAGACUGCAACUCCCAGAAGCCCCAGCCAGCACAGCUGGUGGUGAAGGCUUCUGGGAGUUGCAGUCCAAGAACACCUGGGAGACCCACGGUUGGGAAUCCUUGCUCUAGCAGGAGUCCCAUAUUUUGAAUUUAUUUGUUUGUUGAUUUAAAAUACUUCUAUCCUGCCUUUCUCCUUGAAAAGGACCCAAGGCAGCUUACAAACAAUGAACGACAAUACAUUGAAAGCUGAAAAGCAAUGGGUAGACAACAGGGGUUAACACCCUUAAAAGAGAAUAUUUACAACUACGAACCUUGAAGGAGAAGGCAUCUUGCAUCAUUAAGGAGCAAUAUUAAGGCAAAGAUCAAUAAGUAUACAAAAAAAAAACCAGGCCUUCUCAGCGGUGGCCCCUUGCCUUUGGAACAUCCUUCCUUCUGAAAUCCGCCUGGCUCCUCUGCUGGGAGUUUUUAAGAGUGAAUUGAAGACCUAGCUCUUUAGGCAGGCCUUCCCUCCUGCCACUACUUAAUUUUUCCUCUGGUUUUUGGCUUGGUUUAGUCUUUCCACUGUUGAUUUUAAUUUUAUUGUCUUUUUUUGGGCUGUAAACUGCCCAGAGUAGAUUCGUCUAGAUGGGCGGUAUAAAAGCCAAAUAAAUAAGAAAGGAACUACA